rnacentral:rRNA from 1 species
CCUACGGGAGGCAGCAGUGGGGAAUUUUGGACAAUGGGCGCAAGCCUGAUCCAGCAAUGCCGCGUGAGUGAAGAAGGCCUUCGGGUUGUAAAGCUCCUUUGUCAGGGAAGAAACGGUGGGGGCUAAUAUCUCCUGCUAAUGACGGUACCUGAAGAAUAAGCACCGGCUAACUACGUGCCAGCAGCCGCGGUAAUACGUAGGGUGCAAGCGUUAAUCGGAAUUACUGGGCGUAAAGCGUGCGCAGGCGGUUUUGUAAGUUUGUCGUGAAAUCCCCGGGCUCAACCUGGGAAUGGCGAUGAAGACUGCAAGGCUAGAAUCUGGCAGAGGGGGGUAGAAUUCCACGUGUAGCAGUGAAAUGCGUAGAGAUGUGGAGGAACACCGAUGGCGAAGGCAGCCCCCUGGGUCAAGAUUGACGCUCAUGCACGAAAGCGUGGGGAGCAAACAGGAUUAGAUACCCUGGUAGUCCACGCCCUAAACGAUGUCUACUAGUUGUCGGGUUUUAAUUAACUUGGUAACGCAGCUAACGCGUGAAGUAGACCGCCUGGGGAGUACGGUCGCAAGAUUAAAACUUAAAGGAAUUGACGG